rnacentral:misc_RNA from 1 species
UACAGCCACGCGCGUGAAGAAAAAAAAAAAUUCACAUCCGGUUUUUCGCAACGUUUAAAUCAAUUUCUAUCAUAUCUUGGCACCAGCGAUGCCUCGCAAAUAAAUAAAUUAUCAUUUGAAACAAAUGAAUAGCCAAAUGAAAAUCAAGCGAUAAUAAUUCUAAUCAGUUUAAUAUUUAAACCGUAAAAGACUCGCUGAAAUUUCGAUCGUUGGAAGAGAAAUUAAUUUCCUGCAGUCUCGUGCAGUUUGAAGCAGCUCUGACAAUCACUACGAAGAUGUCGAAAAUUUUUAACGGGAGCAAACCGAACAUCGUGUUUAUUUUUAUCGUACAAUUUCUCGCUCUUCGUUUCACCCCGGCCGAAGGCAUGACCGAAAAUGAGCUGGCCAGAAUAUCUCUGCGUGUUUAUCUGGGGGAAACUAUUAGCAACAAAUAUUAUGACGUACCUAUUGGGGAAACACGUAAUCUGGCAUUGAAAUUAGACGCUGCGAAGCCAACCGUUUUAUACCUUCACGGUUUUCAAGAAAACCUCGAACGGGAAAGCGUUCGCACUAUUGUUGGUGCUUACCUGAAACGCGGUGAUCACAACGUGAUCGCGGUGAAUUACGCCGAAAUAGCAAACGGAACUUACGUUCAGGCCGCCGAGAGUGCCGAAGCGGUUGGAAAGAAAUUGGCAAUCGCUCUGCGCCAAUUGAUUGCGGGUGUUCUGGACCCGAAGCUAAUUCACAUCGUGGGCUAUUCGCUGGGUGCUCAAGUGGCCGCAUACAUAAACAAAUACGCCGUGGUAUUCAAGGUGCAGCGACUAACGGGUUCGUUUUCAUCUUCUUACGAAACUCAAUCACGCACGGAGGGGAUAAAGACCACUGCUUCCGUUUCUGGGAUAAAUGUCGUCCCUUUUUCUCAGCUCUGGAUCCCAUCGGACCCGCAUUUCUCGCUGUUGCUAAGCGAAUCACGUCAGCCGAUGCGAAAUUCGUCGACGUUAUUCACACCGACGCCUUCAUUUACGGCAACGGCUACGCAUCCGGCGGUGCAGAUUUUUGGCCCAAUAGUGGCCUGCGUGUUCAGCCAGGAUGUCCACUACAGUACGAAAAAGGCAGCGAGGAAGAUUUUUGCAGCCAUCAAAGAUCAUGGCAAUACUACGCGGAAUCGGUUGAAAACCCGAAAGCAUUUAUGGCGGCAAAAUCCGUCACAUGGACGAAAUUUUUAGGGAGCGCACACAAGAAACAGGAUCUUGUUCCUAUGGGAUUGGCGACGCCUUUCGGCACUUUUUCAACGUAGUGCAAACUGACGGAGCGAGGAUAUUGCAGAAAUGAAAAACAUCCUUGUAAUAAUGAUACAAACUCUGAACGACUCGUGUACAAAAUAUAUCGCCUGUCUCUUUUUUCUGUAUAAAAUCACGUUUUAUGAAGUCUGUGCGUUGCGAUCAACCGCAUGAUAAAUUGGACAAAUUAAAAGGUAAAUGAUAGGAAAACACACGUGGGCGAUUUGUAUAAUGAAAACACCUGUUAUUUUUUAU